GUCCAGGGGCGGGAAUCGAACCCACGACCUUCCGCUUACCGGGCAGAUGCCAUGUCCACUAGGCUACCCUAGA
rnacentral:tRNA from 1 species